rnacentral:rRNA from 1 species
GGGCCCGCACAAGCGGUGGAGUAUGUGGUUUAAUUCGAUGCAACGCGAAGAACCUUACCAGGGUUUGACAUCCUGCGAAUCUCUUGGAAACUUGAGAGUGCCUUUGGGAACACUGUGACAGGUGUUGCAUGGCUGUCGUCAGCUCGUGUCGUGAGAUGUAUGGUUAAGUCCAGUAACGAGCGCAACCCUUAUCCUUAUUUGCCAGCACUUCGGGUGGGAACUUUAAGGAGACUGCCGUGAAUAACACGGAGGAAGGUGGGGACGACGUCAAGUCAUCAUGGCCCUUACGGGUUGGGCUACACACGUGCUACAAUGGGAGAUACAGACGGUUGCGAAAGCGCGAGCUGGAG